AGUAGUCACGAGUUGAUCCUGGCUACAGAACGAACGCUGGCGGCAUGCCUAACACAUGCAAGUCGAACGAGACCUUCGGGUCUAGUGGCGCACGGGUGCGUAACGCGUGGGAAUCUGCCCUUGGGUUCGGAAUAACUUCGGGAAACUGAAGCUAAUACCGGAUGAUGACGUAAGUCCAAAGAUUUAUCGCCCAAGGAUGAGCCCGCGUAGGAUUAGCUAGUUGGUGAGGUAAAGGCUCACCAAGGCGACGAUCCUUAGCUGGUCUCGAGAGGAUGAUCAGCCACACUGGGACUGAGACACGGCCCAGACUCCUACGGGAGGCAGCAGUGGGAAUAUUGGACAAUGGGCGAAAGCCUGAUCCAGCAAUGCCGCGUGAGUGAUGAAGGCCUUAGGGUUGUAAAGCUCUUUUACCCGGGAUGAUAAUGACAGUACCGGGAGAAUAAGCUCCGGCUAACUCCGUG
rnacentral:rRNA from 1 species